UGGGGAAUCUUGCACAAUGGGCGGAAGCCUGAUGCAGCGACGCCGCGUGGGGGAUGACGGCCUUCGGGUUGUAAACUCCUUUCGCCAGGGACGAAGCCGUGAGGUGACGGUACCUGGAUAAGAAGCACCGGCUAACUACGUGCCAGCAGCCGCGGUAAUACGUAGGGUGCGAGCGUUGUCCGGAAUUACUGGGCGUAAAGAGCUCGUAGGUGGUUUGUCGCGUCGUCUGUGAAAUUCCGGGGCUUAACUCCGGGCGUGCAGGCGAUACGGGCAUAACUUGAGUGCUGUAGGGGAGACUGGAAUUCCUGGUGUAGCGGUGAAAUGCGCAGAUAUCAGGAGGAACGCCGAUGGCGAAGGCAGGUCUCUGGGCAGUAACUGACGCUGAGGAGCGAAAGCAUGGGUAGCGAACAGG
rnacentral:rRNA from 1 species